UACGUAGGGGGCAAGCGUUGUCCGGAAUUAUUGGGCGUAAAGCGCGCGCAGGCGGCUACUUAAGUCUGGUGUUUAAGGCCAGGGCUCAACCCUGGUUCGCACUGGAAACUGGGUGGCUUGAGUGCAGAAGAGGAGAGUGGAAUUCCACGUGUAGCGGUGAAAUGCGUAGAGAUGUGGAGGAACACCAGUGGCGAAGGCGACUCUCUGGGCUGUAACUGACGCUGAGGCGCGAAAGCGUGGGGAGCAAACAGG
rnacentral:rRNA from 1 species